rnacentral:rRNA from 1 species
UACNUUGUAGGUCUGCUCAAUGAUAAUUAAAUAGCCGCAUUUGUGCUAAGGUAGUAUAAUCACUUGUCUUUUAAAUGAGGACUAGAACAAAAGAUCUAACAUUUUAAUUUAUAUCUAUAAUAUAAAAAUUCAAACUUACUUCAAAUGUAAAAAAGCAUUUACUUAAAAGAAAGACGACAAGACCCUAUUGAACUUAACUUCAGUUUCACUGGGGCAGUAAAUUAAUUAUUAUUUUAAUCUAAAUAUAUAAAUAAAUAUCCAAUUAUUUGAAUAAUUCAGUUACCAUAGGGAUAACAGCGUAAUUAAUUUUAAGAGACCCUAUCUAAAAAAUAGAUUGCGACCUCGAUGUUGAAUUAAUAACCUAAUAUAAGCAAAAGUUUAAAAAGGAAGUCUGUUCGACUUUUAAAAAAUUACAUGAUCUGAGUUCAAAACCGGAGA